rnacentral:rRNA from 1 species
UACGUAGGGUGCAAGCGUUGUCCGGAAUUAUUGGGCGUAAAGAGCUCGUAGGCGGUUUGUCGCGUCGGCCGUGAAAACCCGAGGCUCAACCUCGGGCCUGCAGUGGGUACGGGCAGACUAGAGUGCGGUAGGGGAGAUUGGAAUUCCUGGUGUAGCGGUGGAAUGCGCAGAUAUCAGGAGGAACACCAAUGGCGAAAGGCAGAAUCUCCUGGGCC